rnacentral:snRNA from 1 species
GCACUUCCCUGGCAGGGGAGAUGCCAUGACCAUGGAGGUGGCUUUCCCAGGGCGUGGCACAUCCAUUGCGAUACAGAUGUGCUGACCCCUGCGAUUUCCCCAAAUGUGGAAACCUCGACUGCAUUAAAAAAGAACUAGAGAGCUCAUUUCAGAGUUCCUUCUGA